rnacentral:rRNA from 1 species
AGCGAACGCUGGCGGCAGGCUUAACACAUGCAAGUCGAGCGGGCGUAGCAAUACGUCAGCGGCAGACGGGUGAGUAACGCGUGGGAACAUACCUUCUGGUUCGGAACAACACAGGGAAACUUGUGCUAAUACCGGAUAAGCCCUUACGGGGAAAGAUUUAUCGCCGAAAGAUUGGCCCGCGUCUGAUUAGCUAGUUGGUGAGGUAAAGGCUCACCAAGGCGACGAUCCUUAGCUGGUCUGAGAGGAUGAUUAGCCACACUGGGACUGAGACACGGCCCAGACUCCUACGGGAGGCAGCAGUGGGGAAUAUUGGACAAUGGCGAAAGCCUGAUCCAGCAAUGCCGCGUGAGUGAUGAAGGCCUUAGGGUUGUAAAGCUCUUUUACCCGGGAUGAUAAUGACAGUACCGGGAGAAUAAGCCCCGGCUAACUCCGUGCCAGCAGCCGCGGUAAU